CUCUGGUGAUGAGUGCAGUUCAGCACCUUUUCAGAUUCCUGUUGGCCAUUUGUGGAGUCUCACUCUGUAGCCCAAGCUGGAGUGGUGUGAUCUCGACUCACUGCAACCUCCGCCUCCUGGGCUCAAGUGAUUCUCGUGCCUCAGCCUCCUGAGUAGCUGGGACUACAGUUGUCCCUUGGUGUGGGAUUGCUUCCAGUACCUCUGUGUGUAACAAAAGCUGCACCAUUCAAGUCCCACAGUUGCCCUGCGAAACCUCUGUAUAUGAAAAGUUGGCCGUCCAUGUACAUGGGUUUCCCAUCCUGUCACAGAAUUUUCCACACUCCUUGACGGAGGUGCUUAACCCUUAUCCAUCAGCAUUCUCAGACAGCACCUCCGGUUAGGGACAGUAUCUGACCGUCCGACAUCCCUGCAGCCCCCAUGUGUCACACAGACUCAGCCUCAGGUAGAUGGUUUCCGUAGAUGGUGGCUUUCUUUGGACCCUUGACAUCAACCAGUUACUAUUUGACUCUUCUGCAGAACCCCCUGUUGACCCCUGCUUUGAGGUGGCAGAGUUAACACUACUCUUCGUUAUAAGCUCUCGUCUGGGGCAACUCAGAAGAACG
rnacentral:antisense_RNA from 1 species